GAUGAAGAACGCAGCGAAAUGCGAUAAGUAGUGUGAAUUGCAGAAUUCAGUGAAUCAUCGAAUCUUUGAACGCACAUUGCGCCCCUUGGUAUUCCAUGGGGCAUGCCUGUUCGAGCGUCGUUUCAACCCUCGAGCCCCCGUGGCCCGGCGUUGGGGAUCUGCCCAGGCAGUCCCCGAAAACCAGUGGCGGACCCGUUACAGGCCCUUCCCUUGCGUAGUAGCAUUCGCCUCGCAUCGGGAGCCGGCGGGCUUCCAGCCUCUAAACCCCCAUCAAGUCCGCCCCGGCGGCACCAAGGUUGACCUCGGAUCAGGUAGGAAUACCCGCUGAACUUAAGCAUAUCAAUAAGCGGAGGA
rnacentral:misc_RNA from 1 species